rnacentral:rRNA from 1 species
UACGUAGGUGGCAAGCGUUGUCCGGAUUUACUGGGCGUAAAGAGCGCGCAGGCGGUCUUGUAAGUCGAAUGUGAAAGCCCCUGGCUCAACCGGGGAGGGUCAUUCGAUACUGCUCGACUCGAAGGCAGGAGAGGGAAGCGGAAUUCCCGGUGUAGUGGUGAAAUGCGUAGAUAUCGGGAGGAACACCAGUGGCGAAGGCGGCUUUCUGGCCUGUUCUUGACGCUGAGGCGCGAAAGCUAGGGGAGUAAACGGG